rnacentral:rRNA from 1 species
UACGUAGGGUGCAAGCGUUGUCCGGAAUUAUUGGGCGUAAAGAGCGUGUAGGCGGCCUGUUGCGUCCGCUGUGAAAGCCCGGGGCUUAACCCCGGGUCUGCAGUGGAUACGGGCAGGCUAGAGGUAGGUAGGGGAGAAUGGAAUUCCCGGUGUAGCGGUGAAAUGCGCAGAUAUCGGGAGGAACACCGGUGGCGAAGGCGGUUCUCUGGGCCUUACCUGACGCUGAGGAGCGAAAGCGUGGGGAGCGAACAGG